GACUUUGAAAAUGCAGUGAAGAACCCUCCCAAUAAACUUAAUGAAGACCAAUGGCGACUAAUAUGUGAAUUGUUCACAACUCCUGAUUUCAUUCAACGGUCGAAGCAAAACUCUAUCAAUCGACAGAAGAUGAAAUUCUCUUCAACAACAGGGUCGGUAACUAUGGCUGAGAUUCUUCGUCAAAAACAAGGAAAGGGUUACAUUGAGACUUGGAAAGAAUGUCAUACUAAGAAAGACACCAACACCUUCAUCAAUGAGGCUGCCAAAAAUAAAUAUGAAGAGAUGUUGACAACUCGAAAUAGUGCUCCUGAAUCUUCACAAG